rnacentral:rRNA from 1 species
UACAGGGGGUGCAAACGUUGCUCGGAAUCAUUGGGCGUAAAGCGCACGUAGGCGGUUCGUUAUGUCGGAUGUGAAAGCCCUUGGCUUAACCGAGGAAGUGCAUCCGAAACUGGCGAGCUAGAGUACUAAAGAGGAUCGCGGAAUUCCCGGUGUAGAGGUGAAAAUUCGUAGAUAUCGGGAGGAACACCGGUGGCGAAGGCGGCGAUCUGGGUAGAUACUGACGCUGAGGUGCGAAAGCGUGGGGAGCAAAGCAGG